rnacentral:rRNA from 1 species
AUUGAACGCUGGCGGCAUGCCUUACACAUGCAAGUCGAACGGUAACAGGUCUUCGGAUGCUGACGAGUGGCGAACGGGUGAGUAAUACAUCGGAACGUGCCCGAUCGUGGGGGAUAACGGAGCGAAAGCUUUGCUAAUACCGCAUACGAUCUACGGAUGAAAGCAGGGGACCGCAAGGCCUUGCGCGGACGGAGCGGCCGAUGGCAGAUUAGGUAGUUGGUGGGAUAAAAGCUUACCAAGCCGACGAUCUGUAGCUGGUCUGAGAGGACGACCAGCCACACUGGGACUGAGACACGGCCCAGACUCCUACGGGAGGCAGCAGUGGGGAAUUUUGGACAAUGGGCGCAAGCCUGAUCCAGCCAUGCCGCGUGCAGGAUGAAGGCCUUCGGGUUGUAAACUGCUUUUGUACGGAACGAAAAGCCUCUUUCUAAUAAAGAGAGGUCAUGACGGUACCGUAAGAAUAAGCACCGGCUAACUACGUGCCAGCCGCCGCGGUAACAC